AAGUUCCGGAAUUAAACAGGGUCUUGGCUGAGCAGCAGUCUGUGUCACUGCAGGCACACGCUCUCCCUGCUCUUGGUCUCAGUGCUGCGGCCGGAACCAAGCCCGACGGCUGCAGAGAAGAGGCUCUAACAUUGGAGUGGGACCCCACAGGGGUGGGGAAGGACACAAGGAUCCCAUAUUAGGGAAGGUCCUGAUGCUUUCUGCCAAUUUCGGGGCUUCUCAACAGCUUGUGGCGGACUCACUACUGUAGGUUCUGAUGCCACUCGCCUGCGCUUCAAACUGGUCCAGACUGGCGCUCCCAGUGCUGCAUGGAGUGGAGCCGCAGAGACCUCCCCACAGCACCACCCGGCACUGGGGAUGGGGCGUGUCGGGGGAGCUGAGGCUGUACUGGUGGUGCUGGGAGCUCACCUAUCUGGGGUCCAGUAGGACUCAGGUGAACAUGUGUGCUCCCCCGGGGACCCCCAGCCCGGUGUCACUCUACCCCUGAGCAGUGCCACUCUGCUCCCAGUAUUUCCAAUAAAG